rnacentral:rRNA from 1 species
UAGCGCGGGCCUCGUGGAAUCCCGCGUGAAUCAGCCCAGACCGUUGGGUAAGUCUAAGCAUACCUGUCUGACCGAUAGCGUACCAGUACCGUGAGGGAAAGGUGAAAAGCACCCCGGGAGGGGAGUGAAACAGUUCCUGAAACCGUGCGCCCACAAACCGUCGGAGCCUCCGCGUGGGGUGACGGCGUGCCUAUCGAAAAAUGAGUCUGCGAGUCAGUGGCGGGUGGCGAGCAUAAGCCGUGUGGCGUAUGCGUAGCGAAAGCGAGUCUUAAAAGGCGUUUGUAGUCGCUUGUCCUGGACCCGAAGCGGGAUGAUCUAGCCCUGGGCAGGUUGAAGCGCGGGUAAGACCGCGUGGAGGACCGAACCCACCUGGGUUGAAAACCGGGGGGAUGACCUGGGGCUAGGGGUGAAAGGCCAAUCAAAUUCCGUGAUAGCUGGUUCUCUCCGAAAUGCAUUUAGGUGCAGCGUCGGUCGAUUGCGUCGCGGGGGUAGAGCUACCGGAUGCUUGCGGGCCCUUGUUGGGUACCAACAGCAGCCGAACUCCGAAUACCGUUGACGUGUAUUCCGGCAGUGAGUCGGCGGGGGAUAAGCUCCGUCGUCGAGAGGGAGACAGCCCAGACCGUCGUCUAAGGUCCCGAAGCGUGUGCUAAGUGGGAAAGGAUGUGGAGUCGCAUAGACAGCCAGGAGGUUGGCUCAGAAGCAGCCAUCCUUGAAAGAGUGCGUAACAGCUCACUGGUCUAGUGGUUCCGCGCCGACAAUGUAGCGGGGCUCAAGCACACCACCGAAGACGCGGCAGCAAUCUUCAUGGUUGCUGGGUAGGAGAGCGUCCUGCGAGGGGCGAAGCGGCGGUGGAAACCGGCCGUGGACUUCGUGGGAGUGAGAAUGCAGACAUGAGUAGCGAGAGACGGGUGAGGAUCCCGUCCGCUGGAUGACCAAGGGUUCCGGGGCCACGUUCGUCGUCCCCGGGUGAGUCGGGUCCUAAGGCGAGGCCGACAGGCGUAGUCGAAUGGAUGAACGGGUGGAUAUUCCCGUACCGACCAUGGACCGGCAAAACCGAGACGGUGAGUACUAACCUCCGCCUCGUGGUGGUUCCUUCCUUCGGGUUGGUGUCGCCGCGUGGUGUUGGGAGCGUAGCCGCAGUAGGUCAGCGCAGGGGUGACACGGAAUGGGAGCCGGCCGCGGAGGUGGUUUUCCGUGGUCAAGCACGCAGCCAGUCAUGUAGGCAAAUCCGCAUGGCGCGCAUGGCGAGGUGUGAUGAUGGGAGCCGUUAUGGCUCGAUAUCCGGUUGUCCAGGCCGUCGAGAAAAGCCUCGGCGUGAGGGCCAUGGCCGCCCGUACCCCAAACCGACACUGGUGGUCAGGUAGAGAAUACCAAGGCGAUCGAGCGAAUCCUGGUCAAGGAACUCGGCAAAUCACUCCCGUGCCUUCGGUAUAAGGGAGACCCGCUGGGGUGAACCGGCUAGCCCGGGGAGCUUUGGUGGGUGGCACAGACCAGGGGGUAGCGACUGUUUACCAAAAACACAGGUGCAUGCGAAGGCGAAAGCCGCUGUAUAUGCACUGACGCCUGCCCGGUGCCGGAAGGUUAAGAGGAUCCGUCAAUCCCUUCGGGGACGAAGCGGUGAAUUCAAGCCCCGGUAAACGGCGGUGGUAACUAUAACCAUCCUAAGGUAGCGAAAUUCCUUGUCGGGUAAGUUCCGACCUGCACGAAUGGCGUAACGACUUCCCCACUGUCUCGACCAGGAGCUCGGCGAAAUUGCAGUACGAGUAAAGAUGCUCGUUAAGCGCAGAAGGACGAAAAGACCCCGGGACCUUUACUAUACCUUGGUAUUGGCGUUAGGCGCGGAUUGUGUAGCAUAGGCGGGAGGCUUCGAAGCGUGGGCGCCAGCUCAUGUGGAGCCGCAAGGUGAAAUACCGCUCUGUUCUCGUUUGACGUCUAACCUCGACAAGUCAUCCUUGUCAGGGACAGUGCCUGGCGGGUAGUUCAACUGGGGCGGUUGCCUCCCAAAGAGUAACGGAGGCGCUCAAAGGUCCGCUCAGCCCGGUUGGCAAUCGGGUGUCGAGUGUAAUCGCACAAGCGGGCUUGACUGCGAGGACGACGGUCCGAGCAGGGACGAAAGUCGGAGAUAGUGAUCCGGUGCCGGCGCACGGGCGCGGCAUCGCUCAACGGAUAAAAGGUACC